UAUACUUGAAACUUCCAGGCAGGUGUGUUGAGGCAAGUUGGAGCUAAACUCUGCAGGACACCGGCCCUCCAGGAUCAAGUUUGAUGACCCCUGCUCUAGAUGUUUGAAGAUAUCCUAAAGAGCAUCCCUGGAGAACAAGCCCAUCCUGAAGUUUAAAAGAAGAAUGUGCAAAGGGAAUCAUCUCUCUCUAUUCCCAUACUUGGUUGACCCCAGGAGCAAGUUUGGUUAUGUUGGGACAGCGACAUGUCUUCCAUUCUGGUGCUGGUUCACCUUUUGCCACCCUCAAGUCAACGCAGCAAAAGACUGGGAAAGUUCUCAGCUAGACAAGCAUGUAAUUGUCUUAUGAAAUUCAUCAAGCUGAAGCUACUGAUGAAGCAGAUCAAAUGAUACUAGUUCAUAAUGUUGUAUUAAUGUGUGAUAUUGAACUUGCUUAUUUCUCAGAAAGGUUCUUAAAGGGUUUGUUCACACACAAAUGAAAAUUAUGUAAUUAAUUACUCACUUUCAUGUUGUUUCAAACCUGUAAAACCUUAAUAUUUCAUCUUCAGAGCACAAAUUGAGAUAUUUUUUGAAGAAAUCCGAGAGCUCUCUGACCCUCCAUAGACGGCAAGGGUCCUACCAUGAGGCCCAG